CACUCCUACGGGAGGCAGCAGUGGGGAAUUUUACGCAAUGGGGGAAACCCUGACGUAGCGACACCGCGUGAGCGAAGAAGCCCUUUGGGGUGUAAAGCUCUGUCAGCUGGAACGAAAACAAUGACGGUACCAGCAGAGGAAGCAUCGGCUAACUACGUGCCAGCAGCCGCGGUAAGACGUAGGAUGCGAGCGUUGUCCGGAUUUAUUGGGCGUAAAGAGUUCGUAGGUGGUUUGUUAAGUUUGGUGUUAAAGAUCGGGGCUCAACCCUGGGACUGCACUGAAUACUGGCAGACUCGAGUGUGGUAGAGGCUAGUGGAAUUCCCAGUGUAGCGGUGAAAUGCGUAGAUAUUGGGAAGAACACCGGUGGCGUAGGCGACUAGCUGGGCCAUAACUGACGCUGAGGAACGAAAGCCAGGGGAGCGAAUGGGAUUAGAUACCCUAGUAGUCCCA
rnacentral:rRNA from 1 species